UACGUAGGGUGCGAGCGUUGUCCGGAAUUAUUGGGCGUAAAGAGCUUGUAGGCGGUUUGUCGCGUCUGCCGUGAAAGCCCAGGGCUUAACCCUGGGUCUGCGGUGGGUACGGGCAGACUAGAGUGUGGUAGGGGAGACUGGAAUUCCUGGUGUAGCGGUGAAAUGCGCAGAUAUCAGGAGGAACACCGAUGGCGAAGGCAGGUCUCUGGGCCUGUACUGACGCUGAGGAGCGAAAGCGUGGGGAGCAAACAGG
rnacentral:rRNA from 1 species